rnacentral:lncRNA from 1 species
CACAUAGCUACUUCCACAACUGAUUUAGGAGGUAAUGUCAUGUUGAUUCCUUUCUUUUUCUAGUUUUAGUUACUGAAUUCUCUGGGACAACUGCUGUAUCUAGAACUUCCCGCACAGGUAGGAUAAUAAGGAGGAGAUCUCCAUGUUUAACAUCAUAGUUAUUAGAGCUGCUUUGAUGAAAUAGUAACCUCAUUCUUUUCUCAAUAUUUCAAAUUCUGACCUCACCAUUCAACACUUUCUCCGUCAGAGGCCACAACUUUAACAGAAGGCCGCAGCAUUCCUCUGUCUGGAUCCAGCCCAGGUACCACUCCAGCAUCAGGAGGCCAAGCAACUGUGAGCCUGACAGGUGAAGAAGAGGGAAAACCACCCUGUUUCUUUGUCUGGGAGUGAAUGUAUGGAAUUCAGUGGAGGGUCCUCAGUUUGGGCACAUUACUAUUCCUCUUGCUUUGUUAGUGAUAUAGGC